CACGUAGGGGCAAGCGUUGUCCGGAUUUAUUGGGCGUAAAGCGCUCGCAGGUGGUUCGAUGCGUCGUGCGUGAAAGACCCCGGCUCAACUGGGGAGGGUCGUGCGAUACGGUCGAACUGGAGGCCAGUAGGGGGAUGCGGGAAUUCCGGGUGUAGUGGUGGAAUGCGUAGAGAUCCGGGAGGAACACCAGCGGCGAAGGCGGCAUCCUGGACUGGUCCUGACACUCAGGAGCGAAAGGCGUGGGGAGCGAGUCCGG
rnacentral:rRNA from 1 species